GGACGACCGCUGGCGGCGUGCUUAACACAUGCAAGUCGAACGGAAAGGCCCUGCUUUUGUGGGGUGCUCGAGUGGCGAACGGGUGAGUAACACGUGAGUAACCUGCCCUUGACUUUGGGAUAACUUCAGGAAACUGGGGCUAAUACCGGAUAGGAGCUCCUGCUGCCUGGUGGGGGUUGGAAAGUUUCGGCGGUUGGGGAUGGACUCGCGGCUUAUCAGCUUGUUGGUGGGGUAGUGGCUUACCAAGGCUUUGACGGGUAGCCGGCCUGAGAGGGUGACCGGCCACAUUGGGACUGAGAUACGGCCCAGACUCCUACGGGAGGCAGCAGUGGGGAAUAUUGCACAAUGGGCGGAAGCCUGAUGCAGCAACGCCGCGUGCGGGAUGACGGCCUUCGGGUUGUAAACCGCUUUCGCCUGUGACGAAGCGUGAGUGACGGUAAUGGGUAAAGAAGCACCGGCUAACUACGUG
rnacentral:rRNA from 1 species